rnacentral:rRNA from 1 species
UACGGGGGGGGCAAGCGUUGUUCGGAAUUACUGGGCGUAAAGGGCUCGUAGGCGGCCAACUAAGUCAGACGUGAAAUCCCCAGGCUUAACCUGGGAACUGCGUCUGAUACUGGAUGGCUUGAAUUCGGGAGAGGGAUGCAGAAUUCCAGGUGUAGCGGUGAAAUGCGUAGAUAUCAGGUGGAACACCAGUGGCGAAGGCGGCUUUCUGGACGGUAACUGACGCUGAGACGCGAAAGCGUGGGGAGCAAACAGG